rnacentral:lncRNA from 1 species
AUAUGCAGGCCUUAUGCUAGCUUGGCUCUUGCUUAUGAUCAUAAGCUCAAUAACAAUGAGUCAAGGUGUCAGAGCUGAGGAGAGAAGUAUAUAAAACUGACAACAUUUGAUAUAAUGAAAUCAUAAUAUUAAUAUAAUAAAAAUACCUUCAUAAAUCAAUUAUCAUAAAAAAUAACAGCGUCUCAACUUCUAUGUAAAUGUAUAUGUGAUCAUGCUUUGGAUCGAUCCUAUUUUAGGCAACAAUCGGAAUAUUGCAAAAUUUUGGUUAUGUUUGAAUCAUGUAAGAUCAUGCUAACUUGUGAAUUGGGACUAAUCCCAAUACUAUGGUUUCUCAUGGUUUAAAUUAGAAAGUACUAUCAUUGAAGUGAUAGUCCAGUUGGAAUGGGCCGCUAUCAUCUCCACAUUCAAGAUUCGAGUCUGCGGGCUUACGAUUAGAUGAGGAUUAAAUUUUGAUAAAAUCAGUUUGAAGUGCAGACGAUCUGAGCAAAAGAGGAGAUCGUCUCUAAAGUUGUCAAUGAGACAGACCGUGGUCAAUUCGGCACU